UACGUAGGGUGCGAGCGUUGUCCGGAAUUAUUGGGCGUAAAGAGCUCGUAGGCGGCUUGUCGCGUCGGAUGUGAAAGCCCGGGGCUUAACUCCGGGUCUGCAUUCGAUACGGGCAGGCUAGAGUUCGGUAGGGGAGAUCGGAAUUCCUGGUGUAGCGGUGAAAUGCGCAGAUAUCAGGAGGAACACCGGUGGCGAAGGCGGAUCUCUGGGCCGAUACUGACGCUCAUGCACGAAAGCGUGGGGAGCAAACAGG
rnacentral:rRNA from 1 species